rnacentral:rRNA from 1 species
CCUACGGGAGGCAGCAGUGGGGAAUUUUGGACAAUGGGCGCAAGCCUGAUCCAGCAAUGCCGCGUGAGUGAAGAAGGCCUUCGGGUUGUAAAGCUCUUUUGUCAGGGAAGAAACGGUGGGGGCUAAUAUCUCCUACUAAUGACGGUACCUGAAGAAUAAGCACCGGCUAACUACGUGCCAGCAGCCGCGGUAAUACGUAGGGUGCAAGCGUUAAUCGGAAUUACUGGGCGUAAAGCGUGCGCAGGCGGUUUUGUAAGUCUGUCGUGAAAGCCCCGGGCUCAACCUGGGAAUUGCGAUGGAGACUGCAAGGCUUGAAUCUGGCAGAGGGGGGUGGAAUUCCACGUGUAGCAGUGAAAUGCGUAGAGAUGUGGAGGAACACCGAUGGCGAAGGCAGCCCCCUGGGUCAAGAUUGACGCUCAUGCACGAAAGCGUGGGGAGCAAACAGGAUUAGAUACCCUGGUAGUCCACGCCCUAAACGAUGUACUACUAGUUGUCGGGUCUUAAUUAACUUGGUAACGCAGCUAACGCGUGAAGUAGACCGCCUGGGGGAGUACGGUCGCAAGGAUUAAAACCNCAAAAGUAGUAAAGUUGGACGUGUAGACGUACGUCGACCGAAGGCCCAACGACGGAAGGGUUAGAGGG